rnacentral:rRNA from 1 species
AACGCGAAGAACCUUACCUGGUCUUGACAUCCACGGAAGUUUUCAGAGAUGAGAAUGUGCCUUCGGGAACCGUGAGACAGGUGCUGCAUGGCUGUCGUCAGCUCGUGUUGUGAAAUGUUGGGUUAAGUCCCGCAACAAGCGCAACCCUUAUCCUUUGUUGCCAGCGGUCCGGCCGGGAACUCAAAGGAGACUGCCAGUGAUAAACUGGAGGAAGGUGGGGAUGACGUCAAGUCAUCAUGGCCCUUACGACCAGGGCUACACACGUGCUACAAUGGCGCAUACAAAGAGAAGCGACCUCGCGAGAGCAAGCGGACCUCAUAAAGUGCGUCGUAGUCCGGAUUGGAGUCUGCAACUCGACUCCAUGAAGUCGGAAUCGCUAGUAAUCGUGGAUCAGAAUGCCACGGUGAAUACGUUCCCGGGCCUUGUACACACCG